CAAAAUUAUCUCUCCAUCACACUUCAGGGCUGAACAGAUUUUUUUGCUAAAAAUGUGAAGGACAACAUUUUCCGUCUCACACUCCCCUUACAGGGACUGUCGCAAGAAAAAUUUGAACUUUUCUUUUCUUUCUUGUUCAAUCACCCCUGGGGCCCUAAGAAAGCCUCCAAAACAGAAAAGGAUGACAUUGAUUAUUCGCCCAGUUAUUCAGCAAUUUGUUUUGUUUUCGGCAUACACAUUGGUGGAUAACAAUUUUUGUUUGGUAUAUGCCACAUAUAAAUAUUUUUCCUAUGUAGUACAGUAUAUGCC
rnacentral:misc_RNA from 1 species